CUAGGCUGGAUUGUGAAUUCAUGCAUAGAACCAGACCUGCUCUACACCUAAUGCCAAAAAAAUCCUGCAAAGUUUUCCUCUGCUACGAAGCAACACAAAAAGCCCUCCUAGUCCAUCACCUGUUGCUCAAGCAGAACCAGGCAAGCCAGAGUGGUGACACUGAUCCCAAGUGAGUCCAGCCAAGCCAAGUGGAGCCCAGCAGGGUGGUAGGAAGAGGCAGCUAAGUGGCAGAUCCCAUUCCCACACACAUGCCCAGCGUGGCAGACUGAUGGCAGCAGCAGUGCCAAACAGAGCUCUGCAGGGACAGAGAGACACCCAUCACCAUCGCCACUGCCACCAUCCCUGCUGCAGAGAGGGAGCAGAAAACUGCCACUGCAGGUGCACAGCUCCUCCAGGCAGCACCAGCAGCCCCCAUCUACCAUCAGAACCAUUCUGUAAGCCGUCGCCAUCCUGUCUUUGUUCCAGGGGCCCCAUGUGACACUUCACCUUUGUUGCUUAAGCCAUUACUCCUUUUGCACUAUUUUCUUCUUAUUGUUGUGCACUGCUUUUUAUUUCCUCACUACAUUAUAACUCUAAUAGUUUUAACCUCUCAUUUAUUGUUUUCUCCAUUGACCCUUUCCAUUGUCAUGGAGAAGGAGAGAGAGGAGAGGCUUUACAAGGACUACCUCAAGAAGAGGACAUAGAAUGGAGGGAAGGCCUUAGAAAGAAUAAACAACCCUCAUGCUGCUGCUUUUGCAAGGAAUAAAUAUCCAAGUUUCUUAAUAUCCAGCCACAAAUCUGUGGAGUCUUGACAGCCAAGAAGUACAGGAACCUGGACACCUUGUUGUGAGAGACUAGAGGAGAUUGCUGGCUCAACACUUUUCAGGGGCUUGUAUGUGGGGAAGGGGCAGAUCAAGCCUUGCUCUGGUGAGGCCAUGCCCCACUCAGCACGCCCCACACCCCCAGGCCUGUAUCCCAGCCCAGCAGUGGCCACUGAUCCCUGGCACACCAGAGGCAAUGCUCCACACCUGUGUCUGGGGCCCCUAACCCAGCUCCUAAAUGGCCAGAGCAGUGUCCCUGGUAUGGCAGCAAGGCUGUUUGUUCCUGAAUUAGUCAACCAUCCUAGCAGGACCAUGUACCUAAUGACUACAAUAGCAAGUAUGGCUUUGAGUGCCAGAGGGGUAAGAGACCAAGAAAGAAAAGAGAGCCAUGUCUGUAGGAGUGUGCACCCUAAUGGCAGAGUGGCAAAACUAGCCUUUGUCCCCCAGAAAAGAAAAGAAGGCCAGAAGUUUCUCUCAAGGAUUAGGUGAAAAGCCACCUCAUGGGACCUCAGGGACUUCACCAAAUACUUGAGGACAUCUAAUUGGAUAGAAGCCAAAAAGUCCCGCUUGAUCCAUCAGGGAGAAAAAGAAGAGAAGAAAAGAACUAAGUGCUUUUGUGAAGUGUUUUUACCAGGAGCAGACUGCUGCACCUGGCUCGAGUUUUUCUCUUUGUUAUUAUACCUUUUAUUAAACCUUUUUGUUUCUAACACUGCAGCAGAAGUCAUCCUCCUAAUUUUAUGCCCCCAGAGUAAUAGAUAAGCUGUCCUUGGGUGUAUUAUAUUUCUUUUGAGGGCUUAUGAGACCUGGCUAAGAAAAAGAAACAUAAUAGAGCAGAACUGGGCAGCAGCAGGGGGUACUACAGUGCACUCACAGCCACCUGCCAAUGCAGCUGGCCAAAACUAAAACAAGCACAACCAAAAACCCAAACACUACAGGUGCUUGGCCUAAUAGCCUGGUUACUAAUAACAUAAGAAAACAACUAUUAAAGAUGACACCUGGGACACCAGCUGGCCAGAGCCAUUUCCCAGCUACCCCAAAACUUGCCUUUCUCUGCGAACACAGAGGUUUCAGUUGCCCACCUUUCAGAGAGAGGAGCCUGCCAGACCAGGCUGAACAUUCAGCAAUGUCUACUUGAAUGAUCUCAAGCUUU